rnacentral:lncRNA from 1 species
CCCCCCACCCCCCUUCCCAGCUCCAUCUCCCUUCUCAGCAACUCUCCCUCCUUACCUCUCUUUGACCUCCUUUAUUCUCCUUCACAGCCUGGCCCUUGACUUCUCGGCCUCUUCUUUCCCUUCUUUACCUGCAAUGUCCUGCCCCUACUGGGGUCUCCUUCGCACCCUUCUCUCGGGUCCCGUCCCUUCAGACGCCAAACCCCAGCAUUCCUCAACGGCUCGGCCUGGUCGGCUUUAGCCCGAUUUUGUUCCCGUGCCCCUGGGCUGGGAAACAAGUGUGCGGUGCAAAGUGGGGGCAAGAAUCCCCCUCGGCGGUGGCCCCUGCCUCGCCCCCCUCCGCCCCUCCCGAGUCCCGGUUGCGGCGCUUCCUGGGCGGAUGGUUGGGACUCGCUGCAGCAGCUGCGGUUCUGCUGUGUCAUGCAAGAAGGAGGCGGCGGCGGAGCCGGCCGGAGCUGGAGGGGGAGGAGGGGAGGAACCUGAUCUCUCCGGUAGCGAAGGGCUGGAGGCAAACACCGAGCUCCCCCAGAGCCGCCCGGGAGCAGGGAGGGCACCGCUACCCCGAGGGGCCCUCCCCGCGGGGCAGAUGAGUUCAGUAUCCAGAUUCUCUGAGCCACAUUUUGGGAUCACGCAAUCAUUCCAUCCUCCUGAAUUUUCAUAAAUUACUGGAUUCAUAACCUACUCCAUACUUGAGAAGAUGGGGAUUGGAAUAAGGCUCCCAGGUGAUGCUGAUGCUGCCCUUCUGAGGACCACACUGUGAGUAACCAGACCAUAAACAAACCUCAUCACUCCGAGGUCAGCUUGCCUUCCACAGCAAAACACAGCCAAAGGGCAGCCAGAG